AACCCCUCAAAGUAAAACAUGAUUGGUUUACAGACAUUUCAAUAAUGGCUUUUGAAUCAAUCUAUUGAUUGGUUAGUAUUUUACCAGUUUCACUUUAGCAAAAAUGUGUUAACUAAUGAGUUUAGAAUUAUUAGGCAAAUGAGGCAAAAUGACA